AGCGAGUCUUAACUGGGCGCUCAGUCUCUGGAUAUAGACCCGAAACCGGGUGAUCUAGCCAUGGGCAGGUUGAAGGUUGAGUAACAUCAACUGGAGGACCGAACCGACUAAUGUUGAAAAAUUAGCGGAUGACUUGUGGCUAGGGGUGAAAGGCCAAUCAAACUCGGAGAUAGCUGGUUCUCCCCGAAAGCUAUUUAGGUAGCGCCUCGGACGAAUACUACUGGGGGUAGAGCACUGUUAAGGCUAGGGGGUCAUCCCGACUUACCAACCCUUUGCAAACUCCGAAUACCAGUAAGUACUAUCCGGGAGACACACGGCGGGUGCUAACGUCCGUCGUGGAGAGGGAAACAACCCAGACCGCCAGCUAAGGUCCCAAAGUAUUGCUAAGUGGGAAACGAUGUGGGAAGGCUCAGACAGCUAGGAUGUUGGCUUAGAAGCAGCCAUCAUUUAAAGAAAGCGUAAUAGCUCACUAGUCGAGUCGGCCUGCGCGGAAGAUGUAACGGGGCUAAGCAAUACACCGAAGCUGCGGCAAUGUCUUUUAGA
rnacentral:rRNA from 1 species